GCCUGCAACAUGGGCAGCUCUCUCCACUUUUUAUACAUGUUCUAUGGCAGAAACAAUGUGCAGGCGGGGGUGGUGACACAAGGCGAAACUGUAAGAGCUGUAAACCUGAACAGAGAGAGGAGGAAAAACAGGAAAAUAAACAUUCCCAGAAAGGUCAUUUAUAUUUUUAAAAUUGCUCAAAUUUAUAAAAUACACUUUGAUUUAUUGAACUUUAAAAUCUGUUCAUAAAAAUGACACCCAACACCAGCCUCUUAAAAAAUGGUAAAAAAAGGAAAGGAAAUCAGAAGGACAUGAGGAGAGGAGUUUUAUUCAUUCACUGGGAGUUGUCUGGAGGUUGCUGGUUUGAGUCCUGACUUCUGUACCUGUACAAAUACAGUGGUCGUUGAGUUUGACAGUAUCUCGUCUUCCUUCUGUCUUGGUCUCCUCAUGUCAUUUCCUGACCCCUGAUCGGUUGGCGGACUCCUGCAGUCCCAGCUGUGGAUGACUGAAUGUGAACAUCACAUGUUUCCUUUUAACAGCUGUCAGAGCAGCAGCAUGGGCGGAGUCUCGUUGGCUUCAAGCUCUGGACGACAUUUACACGAAGGAAUGUUUGUUCAGGAGCCAGAAGAAGACGAUCACACAGACGGUUAUCGAUCUGUGGGACAUUUAUCCGCUCGUCUUUUUACAGUCAAACUCAAUCCAAUCCCGGUGUUCAUGGACCCACGGUGGGGUCAGUGUAGCGUGAACAGCUGACCUGAUCCUCACACACACACACACACACACUCGCUGGGAUCACAGGAGAUCUCCGUACUGAACCAGUAUUUGUUUUUUGCUGUAAGGCUGCGGCACUAAGCACUGUUCCACCGUGUGGCCCAUGAACUCAACGAUGGUCAACAAAACCGCAGAUUUAUAAAAUGCACAGACAGAAACCUGGAUUAUAGUCGUCGUGUUCUACACACUGAACCAGGUGAUACUUUGUACAAAUACGACAGAUCUUUGUACUUCAGACUGGGAUUGGCAAUCUGAGAGCUGGAAACUAAAGUUUCAUUCAUUGUCUUUAGAAGUGUUCGAAGGUCUUUUAAGGUAUUUUAAUCUCAGUCCGAAGGAUUAAAGGCCCAGUCUGAAGGUUUAGUACAAAGGACUUUUUAAGAUUACUGGUGAAACUGUAGCUUCUACAGAACUUACUGUUACUGUAGUCUGUAAGUGUAGUCAUUUUCACCAUGAAAGUCUGUACAGAGUGGCAAAAGUAAUUAAAGUAAUUAAUCCUGUAGUUCCAGAUGAUGAAUGCCCCUGUCCUCAAAAUGUUUCUUUCUACUCCUUGUUUUUUUUUCAUUGCUCAUUAUGAUUGUGUUUAUGCAAAUUAUCUAUCUUCAUUUAAUUGGUCUGAAAACAUAAUUAUUUACUGCAAAUAAUGUGUCUGUUUUCAGAGCUGUUGAAGACGAUCUCCAUGUGUGUCUUUCUUCAAUUCCUGUGAGUACAUCAGCGUUGUGUUCAACUAACUACUAGGCUAACUGGAUCUAGAAGAUCAUUAUAUUUCAUUCCAUAUUAUUGUCUGGUGGUGCACCUUGGGAUUUUUCUAAUGUAAACAGAGAUGAAACUUUGACAGAAACACCACCUACAGGUCAGAGGUAAAAUGAUAUGACUCACAUGAAAAAUGAUGUAGUAAAUUAUACCUUUUCAGAGGAGACUAUGGAACAAAGUAAUAAAACGUUUUUUUUAUUAUUUACAUAUUCAGAUUUUUAUAUACUUUAUUCUUAUAUAGAUUUACAUAUGAGGAAAUGUUUACUUUACAAUUGAUACAUUGACAAAUAUUGGUUUGUUGACAGAAAUGACAAAGUUUCCUUGGUCCUGGGUUCAGAGGUCAGAAGGCACUCUGAGUCGCUGCAUAGACAUAAACAGGAUUUUUGUUUUUCGUACCCUCGCGCACGUCACACGUGUAACUGCGACGGCGUGCGGUACUAGCUGCUGGUCACAUCGAGUCACAAAGGUUUGGAAGAAACAUUCAACCAUCGUGA